GACGAACGCUGGCGGCGUGCUUAACACAUGCAAGUCGAACGGAAAGGCCCUGCUUUUGUUGGGUGCUCGAGUGGCGAACGGGUGAGUAACACGUGAGUAACCUGCCCUUGACUUUGGGAUAACUUCAGGAAACUUGGGCUAAUACCGGAUAGGAGCUCCUGCUGCAUGGUGGGGGUUGGAAAGUUUCGGCGGUUGGGGAUGGACUCGCGGCUUAUCAGCUUGUUGGUGGGGUAGUGGCUUACCAAGGCUUUGACGGGUAGCCGGCCUGAGAGGGUGAUCGGCCACAUUGGGACUGAGAUACGGCCCAGACUACGACGGGAGGCAGCAGCGGGGAAUAUUGCACAAUGGGCGGAAGCCUGAUGCAGCAACGCCGAGUGCGGGAUGACGGCCUUCGGGUUGUAAACCGCUUUCGCCAGUGACGAAGCGUGAGUGACGGUAAUGGGUAAAGAAGCACCGGCUAACUACGUG
rnacentral:rRNA from 1 species